AGCAUGGGGGUCCCGCGGCCUCAACCCUGGGCGCUGGGGCUCCUGCUCUUUCUCCUGCCCGGGAGCCUGGGCGCAGAGCCCCCCUCCAUGCGCCUGAAGGCCCGACCCAGCAGCCCUGGCUUUUCCGUGCUUACCUGCAGCGCCUUCUCCUUCUACCCUCCGGAGCUGCAACUUCGGUUCCAGCGGAAUGGGCUGGCCGCUGGCACCGGCCAGGGCGACUUCGGCCCCAACAGUGACGGAUCCUUCCACGCCUCAUCGUCACUAAUAGUCAAAAGUGGCGAUGAGCACCACUACUGCUGCGUCGUGCAGCACGCGGGGCUGGCGCAGCCCCUCAGGGUGGAACUGGGUGAGGCCCCGCCCGGUGGUGAUGCUCCUGGUUUCCCGUUGCCUUGUCUCACUGCUGCGCCGUUCCUUCCUGAGUCUGACCUUCUUCCCCACUGCUGCCACCUCCUUGAAUCUGACUGCCUUGAACCUCGCGCCUGUCAGUGCCCCCAAAACCUGAUGGCUUGUCCUUCCCAAGGCCGACUGCCUUCCGUCUCCUGCUGCUUCUGGCCUCACUGAGUCUGAAGAGCUGUUAACUAC
rnacentral:sRNA from 1 species